rnacentral:rRNA from 1 species
AUACAUAGGGGGCAAGCGUUAUCCGGAAUUAUUGGGCGUAAAGCGUGCGUAGGCGGUUUAUUAAGUCUGAUGUUAACUCCCACAGCUCAACUGUGGGCUGCCAUUGGAAACUGGUAGACUUGAGUGCGGUAGAGGUAAGUGGAAUUCCAAGUGGAGCGGUGGAAUGCGUAGAUAUUUGGAGGAACACCAGUGACGAAGGCGGCUUACUGGGCCACAACUGACGCUGAGGCACGAAAGCGUGGGGAGCAAACAGGAUUAGAUACCCUGGUCGUCCACGCUGUAAACGAUGAAUACUAAGUGUUGGAAAAAUCCAGUGCUGAAGUUAACGCAUUAAGUAUUCCGCCUGAGUAGUACGUACGCAAGUAUGAAACUCAAAUGAAUUGGCGGGG